UACGUAGGUGGCGAGCGUUGUCCGGAUUUACUGGGCGUAAAGGGAGCGUAGGCGGACUUUUAAGUGAGAUGUGAAAUACUCGGGCUCAACUUGAGUGCUGCAUUUCAAACUGAAAGUCUAGAGGGCAGGAGAGGAGAAUGGAAUUCCUAGUGUAGCGGUGAAAUGCGUAGAGAUUAGGAAGAACACCAGUGGCGAAGGCGAUUCUCUGGACUGUAACUGACGCUGAGGCUCGAAAGCGUGGGGAGCAAACAGG
rnacentral:rRNA from 1 species